GACGAACGCUGGCGGCGUGCUUAACACAUGCAAGUCGAGCGAUGAAACUACUUCGGUAGUGAAUUAGCGGCGAACGGGUGAGGAACACGUGAGGAAUCUGCCUUCUACACUGGGAUAACUCCGGGAAACCGGGGCUAAUACCGGAUAUGAAACUUGGUUGCAUCACCGAGUUUGGAAAGUUUUUCGGUAGAAGAUGACCUCGCGGCCUAUCAGCUUGUUGGUGAGGUAAUGGCUCACCAAGGCGACGACGGGUAGCCGGCCUGAGAGGGCGACCGGCCACACUGGGACUGAGACACGGCCCAGACUCCUACGGGAGGCAGCAGUGGGGAAUUUUCCGCAAUGGGCGAAAGUCCUGACGGAGCAAUACCGCGUGAGGGAAGAAUGCCUAUGGGUUGUAAACCUCUUUUUCUAGGGAGGAAUAAAAUGACGUGUACCUGAAGAAUAAGCAUCGGCUAACUCCGUG
rnacentral:rRNA from 1 species